rfam:Lachnospiraceae bacterium 5_1_57FAA genomic scaffold supercont1.8, whole genome shotgun sequence.
GGACUUGAUAGAGGCGCGGAUUUCAUCAGUACUCAAAAGCCAUAGCCCGGGCGGCUGCUUUAGAGGAAAGGGGAGGCCGCCGAAGGAUGUGCAUGGCCCGUAUGCAUGUUCUGGGACGUAUGCAUAAGAUGCUGCGGACUGUCACAACAGUGGAGCGCUAUCAGAGUA